rnacentral:sRNA from 1 species
AUUAAUAUUGAUUCAAAAACCCGUCCCUCCAAAUCCAUCUUGCCAAAAAGUCAUUUAUUUUAUUAAUAUUAAUUUUAUUUAUGAUAUGACUCUGAAUUAUAAUAUAAACAUUUUAGCUAAUAACAUAGGAGUGCACCAUAUUUAUUUAAUAGGAGAAUGUACCAUAUGACCCGAAUGCACUUUUACCCAAAUCCACCAAAAAAGUCUUGCAAAAAUACUAUAGAGAUAAGAAACGAUAGUCGGUUUUGAUAGGUAUAAGAUUAGCAAAUAUAUUAGUUAGCUUAAAUUAGUUAAAGAAUACAAAUUAAAAAGGUAUAUUACACUUUAUUCGAAUAUAGUAUCAAAACUUAUAUAACACAGAGAUUUGAUAAUUUUUUAAUUGUUGAAUACUUUUUUUGUGCUAAUUCUUAUGUGAUUAAGAUUUAGUUGAUUUUGUAUAUAAAAUAUUAAAUUGUUUUACGAACUUAUUUGUUUAUAAUUUAGUAACAGAUAGAUAUUUGAAUAUUCAGUAUAUUUUGCUUCAGUUUAGGAAAUCUUUGAUGACCCGUUUUUAGAUCCAAUAAGCCUUAUAAUUAAGAAAUGAAUAUUGUCGUUAAAAGAUUUUGGUAAUUAAUGACGUCAUUAAAGGAUUUUGUUUUUGAUUAAAUUUUUCUAAUAGCAUUAUCAUGUAAUUAA